UACGGAGGGGCUAGCGUUGUUCGGAAUUACUGGGCGUAAAGCGCACGUAGGCGGUUUGUAAGUCAGAGGUGAAAGCCUGGAGCUCAACUCCAGAACUGCCUUUGAGACUGCGAGACUUGAAUCCAGGAGAGGUGAGUGGAAUUCCGAGUGUAGAGGUGAAAUUCGUAGAUAUUCGGAAGAACACCAGUGGCGAAGGCGGCUCACUGGACUGGUAUUGACGCUGAGGUGCGAAAGCGUGGGGAGCAAACAGGG
rnacentral:rRNA from 1 species